rnacentral:ncRNA from 1 species
GAUAACAGCACAAUCCUAUUCUAGAGUCCAUAUCGAAAAUAGGGUUUAUGACCUCAAUGUUGGAUCAAGAUAUCCUAAUGGUGUAGCCACUAGUAAGUGUUCAUUUGUUCAAUAAUUAAAGUCCUAACAUGAUCUGAGUUCAGAUCACAGUAAUCCAGGUC